rnacentral:tRNA from 3 species
GAUCCACUAGCUCAGUUGGUAGAGCACUUGACUUUUAAUCAAGGGGUCCGGAGUUCGAGCCUCCGGUGGAUCACCA